CGCCUUGCCAGCCGCUCAGAACGUUAAAGGAAUUGACGGGGCCCGCACAAGCGGUGGAGUAUGUGGUUUAAUUCGAUGCAACGCGAAGAACCUUACCUGGUCUUGACAUCCCGGAGACCCUUAGGAAACUAGGGGGUGCUUCCAUCUGGAAGAAUCUGGAGACAGGUGCUGCAUGGCUGUCGUCAGCUCGUGUCGUGAGAUGUUGGGUUAAGUCCCGCAACGAGCGCAACCCUUGCCUUUAGUUGCCAGCAGUUCGGCUGGGCACUCUAAAGGGACUGCCGGUGUUAAACCGGAGGAAGGUGGGGAUGACGUCAAGUCCUCAUGGCCUUUAUGACCAGGGCUACACACGUACUACAAUGGCCGAUACAAAGGGCAGCGACACUGCGAGGUGAAGCCAAUCCCGUAAAAUCGGUCUCAGUCCGGAUUGGAGUCUGCAACUCGACUCCAUGAAGUUGGAAUCGCUAGUAAUCGUGGAUCAGCAUGCCACGGUGAAUACGUUCCCGGGCCUU
rnacentral:rRNA from 1 species